UAGGGAAUCUUCGGCAAUGGGGGGAACCCUGACCGAGCAACGCCGCGUGAGUGAAGAAGGUUUUCGGAUCGUAAAGCUCUGUUGUUAAGGAAGAACGAGUGUGAGAAUGGAAAGUUCAUACUGUGACGGUACUUAACCAGAAAGGGACGGCUAACUACGUGCCAGCAGCCGCGGUAAUACGUAGGUCCCGAGCGUUGUCCGGAUUUAUUGGGCGUAAAGCGAGCGCAGGCGGUUAGAUAAGUCUGAAGUUAAAGGCAGUGGCUCAACCAUUGUAGGCUUUGGAAACUGUUUAACUUGAGUGCAGAAGGGGAGAGUGGAAUUCCAUGUGGAGCGGUGAAAUGCGUAGAUAUAUGGAGGAACACCGGUGGCGAAAGCGGCUCUCUGGUCUGUAACUGACGCGGAGGCUCGAAAGCGUGGGGAGCGAACAGG
rnacentral:rRNA from 1 species